rnacentral:tRNA from 1 species
GGGGGUGUGGUGUAGCGGUCAGCAUAACGGUCUCCAAAACCGUCGGUCGUGGGUUCGAAUCCCACCGCCCCUG